GAGAGAGAGAGAGAGAGAGAGAGAGAGAGAGAGAGAGAGAGAGAGAGAGAGAAAGAGAGAAAGAGAGAGGUUGUAGUUUGUGGUUUGAGAAAUGCAAGUUUGAGGUCUUAAAUGAGUGAAUAGACAUUUUGUAAGUGAAUAAAGUGAAAAAAAAAAAUCAUCUCCUAGACAGUGAAGUGAGUGAGAUGUGUUGAAAAGUAUACCCAUAAUGUGGCACAAGGAACACUGAACACUGUAAUGCAAGGAGAAGUGACAGAAAGAGAAAAGUGAGGCAUAGAAAGCAAAACAAGGACCAUAGUGACUAAACCGAGUGGUGAUGGCCAAACUGUGGUGUUGAGAGGUGAGGGAGAGACCUGUGUGUGUGUGUGUAUGUAUGUAUGUGUGUGUGUGUGUGUGUGCCUGGGUGAGGGUGUUGUUGAGGUGUUGAGGUGUGGUGAGAGACAGAGAGUGUUUAUGUACUACAGGGAAGUGGACUGUGUGUGUGUAUAGUGAAGUGAGUGGAGGUAGAUUCAGUGUCCAGCCAGCCACUCAUGGAACAGUGGGUGUGUUUGAUAGCAUGGCUUGUGGCAAAGACAUUGGAGCAGUGUGUGGCGUCUGUGUGGGCUGUUGAUGCUGUUUUAUUACUCUGCUAGAUAAAAAAAAAAGUAUAUAAUAUGUAUAUAAUAUACAUAUAUACACACAUACAAUGUAUUUUCAUAAUGCAAGUAGUUGGAAAUUUUGUAUGUUCAUAUUUAUUGAGGAGAGAAGGCUUGAGUGAGCAGCCAAGCAGGUGUGUUAGCAGGUUAGCAGGUUUAGCAGGUUCUGUUGUGUUUCCCUCCCAAGCGCUGCAUUCCUUUGUGCAGGCAGGACCAGGUGGCAGUGGUGGUGGUCAGGUAGGGUCAGGUCUUGCUGUCACUUGUUACUGAGAGAUACACUUAUCCAAUGACCUCACCUGCUGGCCACCCCACUGCUACACACAUGAAUAGUUUUAUGAUACAAGUGAAGGGGAUUUGAAGCCAUAACAAUAACAGGAAAUGACAUGCAAACAGUUUCCUGGCAGCCUUGAGGAGUCCAUUCCCUGAUUUCCUUUGUUUCCCCAUGACUGUGAUGCUUUGAGGACCUCCCUAUGUUGUCUCCCUUGUUUAGGCUGCAUGUGUCUGCUGCUACUGCUGCUGCACGUGUAUGGCCGUCCCUCAGGCAGAGUAGAGGUUCAGUAGUGUCCAGUGAGGCCAAGUGAGCUUAUUGUGGUGUGAGGAUGCAAGGCCGAGUGUCUGUCUGUGUGUCUGUCUGCCGCAAAUCGUCAAGUACAAAGUUGUUGCUAAUGGAAGGAAUAGAUGGAAAUUUUUUUGUAGGUAACCUGUCCUCCAUUUAUUACAAGUUUUCUUCGGCUGUUUAUUAUGACCAAGUGUUCUCCUGCGUCAAAUAUUUUCCUCUGUCUGCUUGUCUGUGUGGAUUUCAGCGCAGCAUUCUCCAACAUUUCAGGGUUCACAUUUCAACAACUUUUAACCUCUUCAGCACUGGGACACAUUUUUAUUGCAAGUUUUUGGAUAUGAUUACGCCAUUUUAUUUACAUUAGGAGCAAGUUAUCGGGGUUAGAAAAUUAAUGCACAGAGUCUUCACCAUUUUAAUUCACACAUAAGUUUCUGAAGCUGUGUGAAAUUGCCAAAUAGUAACCAGAAUGGAUAUGAAAAAUGUGUCAUGGUACUGAAGAGGUUAACAGGCUGUAGUAGAAGUCAUUGGGGUGUUCCAGGGCAUGAUUUGAGUGGUUUGAUGAUUCUAGCAACACCUGUACAAGAAUCCUGCAUCACCAGCCACCGAUGGGAAGGAAGCGUCUCUGAGGACCCAAUCAAUCUCUUCUGGUCCUUGGAGAGUCCUGCAGUGGUCCCGAGUGUUUCAGAGUGUGAGCCUCAGUGAAAAGUUGCAAUUUGACACUAAGAACUUGACUGCAUGCAUUUCCUUCAACCUUUCUGUUUUCCCUUCUCUCUAUUUCUUUCCUAUCUCUUCCUUUCAUUUCUCCUCUUUUUUUAUUUCCUAUUUCUCCUUUCCUCUCUUCUUUUUUUUUUUUUUUUCUUUUUCCUUCUUUCGGUUCUCAAAUGUGAGCUUCGGUGACAAGUAGCAGUUUGACAGUUGGAUUAUAAGUUGAGUUUUGUUUCAGUUUUCUGCCAAAGCACUGGAUGGAAAAUGUUCAGUUUACCAACAUCCUGUGUGACUGAUUUGUGUCUUCAACGCUAGACACUUCCUGGGAACUUGUUGGCUUUGUGGCUCCUCAGUUGUCAGUUGUGGUUUGUUUGCGUGGCUGUUUAUAAGUGAUGUGUAAAGUGUACAUAGGGUGAAGUCCAUCCUUUCCUGUGUUGGACGGAUUUGAGUUGCUGUUUCUCUUCAGUGAGUUGCCGGAAGUCAGGCGGUGCUCCUCAUCUUUAGUUACUAAGGUGUGUUUUAGGUUAAAAGCUUUCUUUUCUUUUUUAAGCAAGUUUUUUUUUAAUUUAUGUUAGCCUUACCAUAUUAUGUUUUCAGUGGUGUGAGAAUUUGUGCAAGACACUGUAUCCUUAUUUUCUAUGUAGCCAAAGCAAUCAUGUGACUUUUUUUUACCAUAGACUGGUCCCGGAAGACUGUCUUAACUUUUUACUUGUCUGUAAAUUUGUGAUGCUGGAAACUGUGGGCACAAAACUAUUGGUGGUGUGAAGACAGUGACAAGCCAGGCAGUGCUGACACCAAUCACUCACAAACUGUCACUGCUCCAAUUUGAACCAGUUUAGACUUUCAGAGAAUUUUCCCUCUUUAAGUUGUGUCGUUUUUUUUAAGUGAGUGAAGGUAGAUUCUUAGUGAAGCAAAAGUUCUUCACAUACCAAAGGACAAAAUCUCUCAAUGCAUCAAGUGAGAGAGUGUUCGUAAGCCACAGUCUGCCAGCACUGCACUCCAAGGACUGACUUGCUUGGUUUAAUGAGUCCCUGUCUGUUUCCUUAUUGUUUACCCAGACUGUCACUAUCCACUUUUAACGCUGGUUGCCACACUGCCUGGGCGCGGCAAGACGGAAGGUUCAGCUGGACAACACAGCAACACAACGCAUCCUCCACUUAGGACAGAGUAUAUUUUUGGCAAACCGUUUGUAGUGCCGGGAUUCGUGGAGGCAGAGGUUGGAUACUUACAUAUAGGAGUGGUGACUUCAUGUGCGUUCAGUUAAUUUUUUGUACCAAUAAGUGUCGUCGCUGCUGCCGCUGUGCUGCCGGGGAGACUUAAGAGACUCUAGUGCCAACUGUGGGGUGAUGGUGAGGCAGAGAACCUUCAUCCUACACCUGUCAAAUCUAUAUUAACGAAACUCACCUGGAAUGCGAUCCUGGCCCCGUCAAUUCCUGAUAUGUACAAUACUGUGUUGUCACUCCUUCCGUCUGUCUGUUCGUGUGUUGCUUUGGGUUCCGUGAGGCGCCUCCAGUGGGCAGAAUAACGUUAUAUGUUUGUACACGAAUGCAAUUGAGUUUCUUUGCAUGGUGUUAUGUAUUGGAGUUCUGAGUGCAAGUCUACUUAGGCCAACACACUUUACAUCUUUUUUUACAUUUCUAUAUGAGUUGAGAGCAAAGCCAAACGUGUCCUCUGGUUGCUGUGAUGUUGAAAAGAGAAGAAAUGCUCGUGUUUUUACUGAAUUUUUUUACCGUACUUGAGUUUUUCCCCUCCCUUCCAUUCCUACUUAUCCUGUUCCAUAAGGUUGAAGUGGCUCAGGGAAGUGUGUGGUGCCUGCUGUCCACAUUCCACCAAACUAUAACAUCGAAACUAAAUUACCGCGACAAUCAUAACAGUAUUUUGGAGAUGAAAAGUUUGAUUAGCACUAACACCAAGGAAUUUCAUCGGAUAUAAAUGAAGAACAAACUAGAUAACAAUGAUUUAUGGAGAGUAUAGAGACAAUGAUGAGUGGAUGGUAUAAGUCAGGCUCAUAUUAUAAAGUACUUCUGCUCUCCACCUUCACUAUUUUCAAAGGGCUGUAGUUGAAAUGACACAGGUUUUUAAGGAUGUUUCUGUAAUUCCAGUGACAUGUUAAGUUUUCUGCAUUACCAACAGGAAAAAUACUCUUUAGAAUUUGGUCAAUUAUCUUUGUGGUUUAUUUUCAAAGGGCUCUAGUUAAAGUGACACAGGUCUUUAAGGAGUUUUCUGCGUUGCCAAGACGAAAAAUGCUCUUUAGAACCCAGCUUAUCAUCUCUAUGGUUUAUUUUCAAAGGGCUCUAGUUGAAGUGACACAAGUUUUCAAGAAUGUUUAUGUGAUUCUAGUGACAUGUUAACAAGUUUUCUGCAUUAUGAACAGGAAAAAUACUCUUUGGAACUGGACUAAUCAUCUCUGUAGUCUUUGAAAAUGGUCACAGUGAGAGAGGGAAGCAUUUCUGAAUAUGGUCUGUGGUGGCAGGAGGGGGCCAGAGGGACCAGACACGUCCACUGCGCUGUGGAGACGAAAGCCAUUAUUGUUAAAACAUUCCUACUGAAACUGUCAUUACUAUAAGGCACAGAUUGAAGUAAUAAAAUGUAUAAAAUCAAA
rnacentral:lncRNA from 1 species